UCAGCAUAGAAAAUGGCAUUUAUUCAUACUUUUUAAAGAAACAGGAUUUCUGAACAGAAAAGAAACUUGAAGAAGAAAAAAAAAAGGAUCAGAAGGGAUAA